UACGUAGGGUGCAAGCGUUGUCCGGAAUUAUUGGGCGUAAAGAGCUCGUAGGCGGUCUGUCGCGUCGGCUGUGAAAACCCGGAGCUCAACUCCGGGCCUGCAGUCGAUACGGGCAGACUGGAGUUCGGCAGGGGAGACUGGAAUUCCUGGUGUAGCGGUGAAAUGCGCAGAUAUCAGGAGGAACACCGGUGGCGAAGGCGGGUCUCUGGGCCGAUACUGACGCUGAGGCACGAAAGCCAGGGGAGCAAACGGG
rnacentral:rRNA from 1 species